rnacentral:lncRNA from 1 species
UUCUAUUUCCUUUUGAAUUUGUCUCGGUCUAACCUCAAAAGUGAUUACCCUCCUGAUCUCAUCGAUAACAAUUUGGUUACACCUUUGUAUGACUUCGACAAUUCGACCUAUCAUGCCGAAGGAGAAGGCGAAGAAGAUUGUGAUCUGUUGGAAUUAGCCGGGUCAUUGAAACCAGAGGAGAAGGUGAUUCAACCGCAUGAGGAGUGCUCAGAAUUGUUGCUCCAAGCACCGCC